rnacentral:rRNA from 1 species
AGUCGAGGGGCAGCAUGGUCUUAGCUUGCUAAGGCCGAUGGCGACCGGCGCACGGGUGAGUAACACGUAUCCAACCUGCCGUCUACUCUUGGACAGCCUUCUGAAAGGAAGAUUAAUACAAGAUGGCAUCAUGAGUCCGCAUGUUCACAUGAUUAAAGGUAUUCCGGUAGACGAUGGGGAUGCGUUCCAUUAGAUAGUAGGCGGGGUAACGGCCCACCUAGUCUUCGAUGGAUAGGGGUUCUGAGAGGAAGGUCCCCCACAUUGGAACUGAGACACGGUCCAAACUCCUACGGGAGGCAGCAGUGAGGAAUAUUGGUCAAUGGGCGAGAGCCUGAACCAGCCAAGUAGCGUGAAGGAUGACUGCCCUAUGGGUUGUAAACUUCUUUUAUAAAGGAAUAAAGUCGGGUAUGGAUACCCGUUUGCAUGUACUUUAUGAAUAAGGAUCGGCUAACUCCGUGCCAGCAGCCGCGGUAAUACGGAGGAUCCGAGCGUUAUCCGGAUUUAUUGGGUUUAAAGGGAGCGUAGAUGGAUGUUUAAGUCAGUUGUGAAAGUUUGCGGCUCAACCGUAAAAUUGCAGUUGAUACUGGAUAUCUUGAGUGCAGUUGAGGCAGGCGGAAUUCGUGGUGUAGCGGUGAAAUGCUUAGAUAUCACGAAGAACUCCGAUUGCGAAGGCAGCCUGCUAAGCUGCAACUGACAUUGAGGCUCGAAAGUGUGGGUAUCAAACAGGAUUAGAUACCCUGGUAGUCCACACGGUAAACGAUGAAUACUCGCUGUUUGCGAUAUACUGCAAGCGGCCAAGCGAAAGCGUUAAGUAUUCCA